GGUCUGGAUCCAUGCUGGUCGCAAACCCAUUAUGUUGGUUUUUUCGUGACACGGCUCAUAUAUGAAAGGAGAUCUGAAUUUUAAGAUGGACAAGUUCAUUAUACAAAUUUAGCAGGGUAAGGUUCGGUAAUUAUAAUAUAUUAUAAUACAUCAAUGAGAUGUAUUAGAAAUAAAUAAUGGGUAUUGUUUUGAUACAGCUUUAUUUCGCUGUUGUAAAUAGAGGGGGCUUAAAUACACAUUAUAUUAUAUAGGUCACACUGUAAAAAUUGACCAAAAACAAGGUUGUUUAUUCACGCAUUAAUGUAUUAAUAUCAGAUAAUUAAGCAAAAAUUCCUUUUCUAUUUAUAGUAUUAUUAUAACAAAAUUAGGUAAAUGCCUAUGACAUUUAUUUAUUUUGUUUUACAAUAUUAAGAAGAUAGUAAAAUUAAGCUUUUGAAAUUUUCUAAAACAGAUGUCAAUGUUAUCAGGGUCAGUAAGGUCAUGAAAAAGUUCUUGAAUUCAUCAUCAGGAAAUGUUUUUGAAAAUUUAAGUAUUUUUGCUUUGUUCCAAACCGGACAAAUUGGAAAGUUUAUUUGCUUGGGCAUUAAUUUAUCUGCUUUUAAACAAUGGUUAAUUGACAUAUUUAAAAUUAAGAAGUAUGUAAUGACCAGCAUGUUUUGUACAUCAAACAAUAAUAUGAUUUAUCUCUGAAAAUCCACACUAGUACUUUAAUUCUUCAUUGAUUUAUCCAUUUAAACCUUAGUAUUCUUUUAUAUUGAAUAGUGAUAUUUGCUGUACUACGCAUUUUUUAUAUUGUUUACAAUAGAUGUGAGUAUGUUACUUUUUUUACUGACUCAUUUAUGUUUUUUUUAUCUCACCUGAGCACAAUGAAUGUGAAGGGUGAGCUUUUUUGACCACACAUUGCACUCAAUGAAGGGAACAUAAUUGUUAUCUUAUUGCAUUUGAAAAAUAUUAUGCUAAAAUCUUCAACUCUGUAAUUGUUCACCUUGUUUUGAAAUAAGUUUCGUGAAAAAUGUGUAUGAGUGUCCCUAAGAUACACACAGUGAAAAGUAUAAAUUUUGUUUUUCAAUAUUCAUACAACAUUAUUAUUUAACAUAUCAUAAAGAUAUGUAAUAAAUAUACAAAAUUAAUGGAUAAUAUUAUCAUGAAAAAUAUAAGAUUCACUUGUCAGUUGUCAUUGUUACUUAUGAUUUUGAAACUGUUUGCAAUGAAAGUUAUAUUUAUUAUAUUUAUUAUGAUAUGAUUGAGACUAGCUAUUAUAUGAGUACAAAUAUCUUGAUCUAGGUCUUGUACAUUGUAUUUGGCUUGAGUGGAUUUUGCUCGGCUAGGAUCACACUAAGUGUAAAGUGCUGAGUGUGAUCCGGCCUAGUGAAUUCCAUGAGAGCUAAAUGCUAGUGUAUUGUAAGAUUCUCAUAUAAUGAAUCUUUUAUUAUUUACCACCUGGCACUUUUAUCUUAAUUUACUUAUUCAGUGGUUAUGUAAGUUGUCAUUACGUCAACAAAUGUCGUACAAUAUCGCACUUGUAUACAAGAUGGAUUUUCUUUCAGUUACAUCUUAUUUAUCCAUGUAACAGUUUAUUUAUUAGAAUAUUAACUGGUAUGUAAUGAACUACCCUUUUGAUUAUUUGAUUUGGGUUAUUUUAUAGUCAUGCCAUAUAUGUAAUAUGGUACCUAAGGUUGUAUUGUACCUUUCUCUCUCAAGUUGCUUAAUGUUUUGAUAUUUAGGUAAUUCCAAUGAACUUUUUUGCUUACAAAAUUAUAAAUGAACUGUUUUGCUUACAAAUUUCAAAUUGAACUGUUUUGCAUGAUUUUUUUUUUUUUGCUGAUAAAUUAAUAGUCAUUCUGCCGAACAGUUAGCACUUAACAGAUGUAUACAUAUAAAUAUACAUAUUGGCAGGUUUACUUAAAUGACCAGUAGUUGCUUUGUCACAAUACAGUAGUUUACUUACUUGAUAUACAUGUAUUUACAUUGAAUUUCUAUGCAUAUUCAUAGCUUGAUUGACUGUAAAGUUUAUAAAUUGACAAUAAGAACAUAAAUUAUACAUACAUGUAUGUUAAUAUAUGGUUGCAAGUUGGUUGUGAAAUCCCAGUGUUGUAUUUAAUUUUCUCUAUAAAUAAUGUGAAACAGAGAUGUUUAUAGUUGAUUUAAAUAUUGACUGUCUCUCUUUUUUUUUUUUUUUUUUGGUGUGCCUUGCAUGUUUUGUGAAUAAAGAUAAAGCAAACUGAGUAAAUUUAUGUUUAAUUUAUAAAAAAGAGUAGAUUCAGGAACUCCACUCAGGUCAAAAACCAUAAAAACAUAAAAUUUGUACUUUUUACAUAGAUCAAUUUGGGCACUUAAUACAAAAAGAUAUGCAAAAGAUAAUUAAGAAAUGUACUCAGAAAUAAAUUAAAAAUCGUAUUUUGUGCUAUUCUUAGCUCAAUUUGCAAUGGUUUUCAAAAUUUGGCCACUUUACACAAUUAAGUUAAUUAUUCUGUACAAAUGGUGAGAGCUAAUGAUCUGCAAUUUGCACAAAAGUUAUUAGUCUAGAACUUAAACAAAUGGAACAUUAAUCUCAAGAAGUUAUUUCUAGCCCCAACUUGUCAUAUAACCUCAGUGGAGUCCCUUUAAAGGUGCAGAGAGUCUGUAUAGAAAUUUAAGAAUAAUCAAGACUUGAUGAAAUUCUACUGAUAAACAUGAAUGAAGGAAAAUAGAUACAUUUGAGCCGCCUCAUGACAAAACCAACAUAAUGCGUUUGCGACCAGCAUGGAUCCAGACCAGCCUGCACAUCUGCGCAGUCUGAUCAGGAUCCAUGCUGUUCGCUAUCAAUUUCUCUACUUGUAUUAGGGUUGGUAAGCGAACAGCAUGGAUCCUGAUCAGACUGCGCGGAUGCGCAGGCUGGUCUGGAUCCAUGCUGGUCGCAAACCCAUUAUGUUGGUUUUGUUGUGACACGGCUCAUUUAUAUUGUCUUGAUAUUUUUUUAGGUAGAUUUGUAUAUUAUUUAUAAUUGUUGGAGAUCUUAGUCAGUGUUGAUAGUAAGGGUAGGAAGAAAGGGAUACCAGCUUAAAUUAUUAGUGAAUUGAAUUCUAAAUCAGCCGUUUAUUUCAAUCAAAAUGUAUCAUUGAAGAAAAUCAAAAAUUUCUGUAGAGAAAGAAAAAUUGUUUUUUUAAAAGGAGAAUAAACAGCUCACUAAUUAUACAACAAAUGCAUUUUAUUUACAAAGUUAUGUACAAUGUAAUGUUUUGAAUUAUAAUUCUUGGUUAUUUAAAAGAGUUUUUUCCCACAAUUCUGCUGAAUUCUGUUUUUCUAUAUUACACAAUAGAUGCAAGAAACCUUAUUGUUGUCUUUUUUGUCAGCUUCAAACAGACUUGUAUUCAUUUUCUUGUUCUCUUCCGCACUUCGUAUAUCUUGCAGAAAAUAAAAUUUCUACGAAGCAGCUUAUAUUUGAGCGUUUAGAAAUAUUAAAAAAGAAAUUUUGUUACUUCUCUUUGCGUAUCAUUAACUUUGGCCUUCAGCUUUUAUUUUUUGUUGUUUCAAGUUAAGUAUUUCAGUAAUUUUAUCUUGGAAAAGUGCAUCAUGUCACUGUUAGGCCAUCUUCAAAACGGUGUCCUGAGAGCUAAUUAUAAUGCAUCGGUGACAUUUGUUUCUAAAAAUAGAAGAUAGGGAAACCAGUUGUUCAUUUUUACUAAUUUACAUAUAAGAGACCGUACCUGUAGAUUAGGGGUACCAAGGGGGUUCCUUAUUGUUUAUAUAUUUUAUCAACAGCAAAUUUCAUUUUCCUCUAGAAUAGCUGAAGGGUACUUCAAAAAGUCUCUCUUUCUUUAAUGGCAUUCAUAUCCCUUAUUUAUUUUACAAUUCUGUCAUGCUCAACUCUUUCAGUGCUCCAUUGACAAACAUUUGCCACAUGAACAAUCUAUGUAUCAUGUGUAUAGACAUUUAAAACAUUGCUUUAAUUUUAUAUAUUCUACUUUGUUUGUGAACAGAUUCACAUUUUUUCUGCAAAGUUUUAUGAACAAAUUCUAUUUUUAUUUCUGCAAAGAAUACAACCUACUACAUACAUUUCUUAUUCCAGAUAUUUGAUUUUAAUAAAGAUCUUGUGUACGGUGGCAUUUAACUUGGCUUUAGUGACCGUUGUUCUUAUAAAUUAUUUGUUGUUUUUUUUGCCAUAUCUUUCAUAAGUUAUUAGCAUAUCUAUUUACUUGUGUUUUUAGAACACGUUCAUGUGAAUCUUUAUAUAAUUAAGUUAAACAUUGCUGCAACUGUUGAUAAUGUAAAUGUGCAAUUUGCCUUAAGAAAAAGAUGCAUAUCUUUCACUUUUCAGUAUUUUUAAAACUUUAUGCAAACUUGUGUUAAAAGCGUUGUUCAUUUUUCAAGCUUAUUCUAUAGUUUGAGCUGAUAGAAUUCGUGUUCACAGUAAACAUCAUUUGAACAUAUAGUUCAAGCUCAUUAAUAGUUCGUAUUCAUUAUGUAGUUCUCGCUCAUUUCAUAGUUAAAGCUCAUUACACAAUUCAAGGUCAUUACAUAGUUCAAGGUCAUUACAUACCUCAGACUCAUUUUCUUAUUUAAGCUCAUGUGCAGACUCAUAUCCUAAUUCAAGCUCAUUUUAUAGUCUAGACACUAUAAUUCAGGCUCAUUUCACAGCUAAAUCUCAUAACAUGAUACAGUCUCAUCUUAUAGUUUGGACUCAAAAUUCAUGCUCAUUACAUGAUUUAAAGCUCAUUUUUUAGGUCAAGCUCAUUUCAUAGAUCAAACUUAUUUCAUAAUUCAAGCUCAUUUCAUAUUUCAUUCUCAUCAGGUAGUUCAUGCAUUUUUCGUACAUCAAGCUCAUUACAUAUUUGGAGCACAUUUCAAAGUUCAUAGCAUGAUUGAAUCUCAUUUCAUAGUUCAGAAUCAUUGCGCAAUAUCAUUACACAGUUCAUGAUCAUAGCUUACUGAAGUUCAAGGUUACUGAAGUUCAUGAUUACUGAACAUCAAGGUGAUAAACACAUUACAAAGUUCAAGGUCAUUUUAUAGUGGAAAAACCAUGCUUGUUUUCUAUUGUUUUGUGAACAGUGAAUCAUGAUGUAUUUAUACUGUGUCUAUUUUGUAGUAAUGUCAGAUUGAAAAUAAACAGAGGUAAUUAUA